rnacentral:tRNA from 1 species
GCUUUCGUGGUGUAGUGGUCAGCACGCUCGACGCGUAACUGAGAGGUCCGUGGUUCGAUUCCCGGCGGAGGCG